GAGUUCUUUUUCAAACACCCUG
rnacentral:miRNA from 1 species